CUUACAGGAUAAUUUCUGUUAAAGAUAGGCUCCUUAAAACAGUAAUGUUUUAGAGGCAAAUGAGGAUAAAUGCAAGGACAUUUAAUUAAUACCCCUCCGUUUAAUUAAAUUACUUGCAGCGAAGUUUGACACGGUAUAUUUAUAUGUCAAAAACGUUCAACGACUAACAAGUGAGUGAUACCGCAAUAAGCUUGAUACAAUUCCCUCGCAACCUUUAAGUUAAUCAAAUUAUUUAAGAAUAAAUAAUUUGAAACAUAGAAUGUAUUAAAGGUUGAAGACUUAGUCUAAACAAAGCCGAAAGGUUUUG
rnacentral:ncRNA from 1 species